rnacentral:rRNA from 1 species
AUUGAACGCUGGCGGCAGGCCUAACACAUGCAAGUCGAACGGUAACAGGAAGAAGCUUUCUUCUUUGCUGACGAGUGGCGGACGCGGGCGUAAUGUCUGUGAAAAUGCCCGAUGGAGGGGGGUAACUACUGGGAACGGUAGCGAAUACCCCACAUCGUCGCAAGACCAAAAAGGAGGACCUUCGGGCCCCUUGCCCUCUGAUGUGCCCCGAUGGGAUUUGCUAGUAGGUGGGGUAAAGGCUCACCCAGGCGACGAUCCCUAGCUGGUCUGAGAGGAUGACCAGCCACACUGGAACUGAGAAACGGUCCAGACUCCUACGGGAGGCAGCAGUGGGGAAUAUUGGACAAUGGGCGCAAGCCUGAUGCAGCCAUGCCGCGUGUAUGAAGAAGGCCUUCGGGUUGUAAAGUACUUUUGGCGGGGAGGAAGGGAAGAAAGUUAAUACCUUGGCGCAUUGACGGUACCCGCAGAAUAAGCACCGGCUAACUCCGUG